CCUACGGGAGGCAGCAGUAGGGAAUUUUCGGCAAUGGGGGGAACCCUGGCCGAGCAACGCCGCGUGAACGAAGAAGUUAUUCGUAAUGUAAAGUUCUUUUAACAGGGAAGAAAGAGAAAUUUGACGGUACCUGAAGAAUAUGCUCCGGCUAACUACGUGCCAGCAGCCGCGGUAAUACGUAGGGAGCGAUGGUUGUCCGGAAUUAUUGGGCGUAAGGGAUGCGUAGAUGGCAGAGUAAGUCUUUUGUAAAAAUGCUGGGCUCAACCCAGUAGGGCAAAAGAUACUGCAAAUCUAGAGUAUGACAGAGGCAAGUGGAACUACAGGUGUAGCGGUAAAAUGCGUAAAUAUAUGUAAGAACACCAAUGGCGAAGGCGGCUUGCUAGGUCGAUACUGACAUUGAUGCACGAAAGCGUGGGGAGCAAACAGGAUUAGAUACCCUGGUAGUC
rnacentral:rRNA from 1 species